rnacentral:rRNA from 1 species
GUCCUAGCCGUAAACGGUGCACGUUUGCUGUAAGAGGAAUCGACCCCUUUUGUGGCGAAGCCAACGCGAUAAACGUGCCGCCUGGGAAGUACGGUCGCAAGAUUAAAACUCAAAGAAAUUGACGGGGGCCUGCACAAGCGGUGGAGUAUGUGGCUCAAUUCGAUGCAACGCGAAGAACCUUACCUGGCCUUGACAUGUACGUAGUAGGAGGGUGAAAGCCCGACGAGGUAGCAAUACCAGCGUGCACAGGUGCUGCAUGGCUGUCGU